rnacentral:rRNA from 1 species
UACGGGGGAGCAAGCGUUGUUCGGAUUUACUGGGCGUAAAGGGCGCGUAGGCGGCCAGCACAAGUCAGUUGUGAAAUCUCCGAGCUUAACUCGGAAAGGUCAACUGAUACUGUGCGGCUAGAGUGCGGAAGGGGCAACUGGAAUUCUUGGUGUAGCGGUGAAAUGCGUAGAUAUCGGAAGGAACACCAGUGGCGAAAGCGGCUUCCUGGUCCAGCACCGACGUCAGGCACGAAAGCGUGGGGAGCAAACAGG